GCCUGGCUGGCUCAGUCAGUGGAGCAUGGGACUCUUGAUCUCUGGCUUAUGAGUUUGAAUCCCAUACUGGGUG
rnacentral:tRNA from 1 species